GACGAACGCUGGCGGCGUGCUUAACACAUGCAAGUCGAACGGAAAGGCCCUGCUUUUGCGGGGUGCUCGAGUGGCGAACGGGUGAGUAACACGUGAGUAACCUGCCCUUGACUUUGGGAUAACUUCAGGAAACUGGGGCUAAUACCGGAUAGGAGCUCCUGCUGCAUGGUGGGGGUUGGAAAGUUUCGGCGGUUGGGGAUGGACUCGCGGCUUAUCAGCUUGUUGGUGGGGUAGUGGCUUACCAAGGCUUUGACGGGUAGCCGGCCGGAGCGGGUGACCGGCAACAUUGGGACUGAGAUACGGCCAAGACUCCUACGGGAGGCAGAAGUGGGGAAUAUUGCACAAUGGGCGGAAGCCUGAUGCAGCAACGCCGCGUGCGGGAUGACGGCCUUCGGGUUGUAAACCGCUUUCGCCUGUGACGAAGCGUGAGUGACGGUAAUGGGUAAAGAAGCACCGGCUAACUACGUG
rnacentral:rRNA from 1 species